AGCGUACACGGUGGAUGCCCUGGCAGUCAGAGGCGAUGAAGGACGUGCUAAUCUGCGAUAAGCGUCGGUAAGGUGAUAUGAACCGUUAUAACCGGCGAUUUCCGAAUGGGGAAACCCAGUGUGAUUCGUCACACUAUCAUUAACUGAAUCCAUAGGUUAAUGAGGCGAACCGGGGGAACUGAAACAUCUAAGUACCCCGAGGAAAAGAAAUCAACCGAGAUUCCCCCAGUAGCGGCGAGCGAACGGGGAGCAGCCCAGAGCCUGAAUCAGUGUGUGUGUUAGUGGAAGCGUCUGGAAAGGCGCGCGAUACAGGGUGACAGCCCCGUACACAAAAAUGCACAUGCUGUGAGCUCGAUGAGUAGGGCGGGACACGUGGUAUCCUGUCUGAAUAUGGGGGGACCAUCCUCCAAGGCUAAAUACUCCUGACUGACCGAUAGUGAACCAGUACCGUGAGGGAAAGGCGAAAAGAACCCCGGCGAGGGGAGUGAAAAAGAACCUGAAACCGUGUACGUACAAGCAGUGGGAGCACAGAGCAAUCUGUGUGACUGCGUACCUUUUGUAUAAUGGGUCAGCGACUUAUAUUCUGUAGCAAGGUUAACCGAAUAGGGGAGCCGAAGGGAAACCGAGUCUUAACUGGGCGUUAAGUUGCAGGGUAUAGACCCGAAACCCGGUGAUCUAGCCAUGGGCAGGUUGAAGGUUGGGUAACACUAACUGGAGGACCGAACCGACUAAUGUUGAAAAAUUAGCGGAUGACUUGUGGCUGGGGGUGAAAGGCCAAUCAAACCGGGAGAUAGCUGGUUCUCCCCGAAAGCUAUUUAGGUAGCGCCUCGUGAAUUCAUCUCCGGGGGUAGAGCACUGUUUCGGCAAGGGGGUCAUCCCGACUUACCAACCCGAUGCAAACUGCGAAUACCGGAGAAUGUUAUCACGGGAGACACACGGCGGGUGCUAACGUCCGUCGUGAAGAGGGAAACAACCCAGACCGCCAGCUAAGGUCCCAAAGUCAUGGUUAAGUGGGAAACGAUGUGGGAAGGCCCAGACAGCCAGGAUGUUGGCUUAGAAGCAGCCAUCAUUUAAAGAAAGCGUAAUAGCUCACUGGUCGAGUCGGCCUGCGCGGAAGAUGUAACGGGGCUAAACCAUGCACCGAAGCUGCGGCAGCGACGCUGAUGCGUUGUUGGGUAGGGGAGCGUUCUGUAAGCCUGCGAAGGUGUACUGUGAGGUAUGCUGGAGGUAUCAGAAGUGCGAAUGCUGACAUAAGUAACGAUAAAGCGGGUGAAAAGCCCGCUCGCCGGAAGACCAAGGGUUCCUGUCCAACGUUAAUCGGGGCAGGGUGAGUCGACCCCUAAGGCGAGGCCGAAAGGCGUAGUCGAUGGGAAACAGGUUAAUAUUCCUGUACUUGGUGUUACUGCGAAGGGGGGACGGAGAAGGCUAUGUUGGCCGGGCGACGGUUGUCCCGGUUUAAGCGUGUAGGCUGGUUUUCCAGGCAAAUCCGGAAAAUCAAGGCUGAGGCGUGAUGACGAGGCACUACGGUGCUGAAGCAACAAAUGCCCUGCUUCCAGGAAAAGCCUCUAAGCAUCAGGUAACAUCAAAUCGUACCCCAAACCGACACAGGUGGUCAGGUAGAGAAUACCAAGGCGCUUGAGAGAACUCGGGUGAAGGAACUAGGCAAAAUGGUGCCGUAACUUCGGGAGAAGGCACGCUGAUAUGUAGGUGAAGUCCCUCGCGGAUGGAGCUGAAAUCAGUCGAAGAUACCAGCUGGCUGCAACUGUUUAUUAAAAACACAGCACUGUGCAAACACGAAAGUGGACGUAUACGGUGUGACGCCUGCCCGGUGCCGGAAGGUUAAUUGAUGGGGUCAGCGCAAGCGAAGCUCUUGAUCGAAGCCCCGGUAAACGGCGGCCGUAACUAUAACGGUCCUAAGGUAGCGAAAUUCCUUGUCGGGUAAGUUCCGACCUGCACGAAUGGCGUAAUGAUGGCCAGGCUGUCUCCACCCGAGACUCAGUGAAAUUGAACUCGCUGUGAAGAUGCAGUGUACCCGCGGCAAGACGGAAAGACCCCGUGAACCUUUACUAUAGCUUGACACUGAACAUUGAGCCUUGAUGUGUAGGAUAGGUGGGAGGCUUUGAAGUGUGGACGCCAGUCUGCAUGGAGCCGACCUUGAAAUACCACCCUUUAAUGUUUGAUGUUCUAACGUUGACCCGUAAUCCGGGUUGCGGACAGUGUCUGGUGGGUAGUUUGACUGGGGCGGUCUCCUCCUAAAGAGUAACGGAGGAGCACGAAGGUUGGCUAAUCCUGGUCGGACAUCAGGAGGUUAGUGCAAUGGCAUAAGCCAGCUUGACUGCGAGCGUGACGGCGCGAGCAGGUGCGAAAGCAGGUCAUAGUGAUCCGGUGGUUCUGAAUGGAAGGGCCAUCGCUCAACGGAUAAAAGGUACUCCGGGGAUAACAGGCUGAUACCGCCCAAGAGUUCAUAUCGACGGCGGUGUUUGGCACCUCGAUGUCGGCUCAUCACAUCCUGGGGCUGAAGUAGGUCCCAAGGGUAUGGCUGUUCGCCAUUUAAAGUGGUACGCGAGCUGGGUUUAGAACGUCGUGAGACAGUUCGGUCCCUAUCUGCCGUGGGCGCUGGAGAACUGAGGGGGGCUGCUCCUAGUACGAGAGGACCGGAGUGGACGCAUCACUGGUGUUCGGGUUGUCAUGCCAAUGGCACUGCCCGGUAGCUAAAUGCGGAAGAGAUAAGUGCUGAAAGCAUCUAAGCACGAAACUUGCCCCGAGAUGAGUUCUCCCUGACUCCUUGA
rnacentral:rRNA from 1 species